UCCAACACUCACGUGCUUCUAUAACUAAGAUCAUGUAUGAGAAACUUUAGUUCUGCGAGGUACCUGAAUCAUCACUAUUUAGUGGGUUUCCCAUGUUGUAAUAUAGCAUGUAUCACACUUGUUCAAGUGUUUUCCCAAAAUAUGCUUAUCAUGUGCUACAAAAAUUCUUAAGCACAAAUAUUAGUAACAUAGGAGAGCCCUUAAAGGCAGGGCCGUAAAUCAUAAAUCAUGUGGGUAAUGAACCCACAAUAGUUAAAGGUCCACUUACAUGCAGCAUGCGGUUCAACUAUCAAAGCAAUUAAUGAGCAGUUCCAUAUCAUUUAUUAAUAUAUGCAUUUGAUCAUGUUCACAUGUCUUGAAAAGAAAUAAAUAAUGCUAAAUUUCGACAAGCAAUAAUCAUUACCCUUAUUUAUUGAGGUUGCACUUAUAGAGCACUUAGUUCGUCUUCUGCUUUAUCGAGAAGUAUGAGCAAUUGUAAAUCAACAUAAUCAUCUUCUGCUUUAUCGAGAAUCCAAUCUAAUUAACUUCUACUUCGCAAAUUCCUCCCAACGAAACCCAAGAAUCCCAAAUCCCUCCAGUAAUUCACCACAACUAAACCAAAUUCUAUAAACAAGCAUGCAUGUUUGGCACAAUGCCCCCUAGUUUCAGAGUCAAGAAAGGCCAGCCAUACCUGGUAAUAAUAGAUGUGGACUCAUCCCGUUGAGGAUCACGUUUGGUAGCUGAUCAAGCGCUGCCGACAAAGGCAGCAGCUACACGCUAGUGAGUGGUGAGACACAGAUUUGUUCUUUAUCAUUUCCGCUGUCGUAAAUAAUGUCAUCUUCUGAUUUUGAUCUUCGGAGACUAUUUCACCGAUUCUGGUAAUGGCGCCGAUAACAUUGCCUGGUUAGGAUUCCAAUGUUGUUACCUUUCCAUCCAAAAAAAGAAAAAGAAAAUCAGAGCCUCAAAUUGGUAGAGAAAAUCACAAAAAUGAAUUUGAAUUUGAGGAAUUGAAAACAGGGGCAGAGCGGCGGCCGAGUUGGUGGAUUUCUCCCUUUCCGAAUGAGUAAUAUACGAUAGAUAUGCGCCGCUUUUCAGAAGAGGGCGGAGAUUCUUUUGGAGAGCAGUGGUGGAAACUGAUUUCCGGCGGAGAAUAUAGAGAGACGAGCGAGGGGCUUCGCAGAGCAGGAUCUGUAGAUUUUGGGAUUUUCACUGGUUUCUAUGGAGAUAGUGGUCGGGCGUUUCUUGUAUGAGAAUAGAGAAAGAACUUCUGAAAAUUUUCUUGUAUGAGCGAAUUGAGAGAACUUCAUCGAUUUUUGGGGGAAAUCGCUGGAAAUUGAAGAGAAAGAAAGAGAACAGGGAUGGAAGUCGUUGCACGGCGAUUGAACAGGAUGAUAAACUUGGACCUUCAGAGAUUUUUUUUUCAGUCGAACUAUGAGAGAUGAGGGUGGGCGUGAGG
rnacentral:lncRNA from 1 species